CCUACGGGAGGCAGCAGUGGGGAAUAUUGGACAAUGGGGGGAACCCUGAUCCAGCGACGCCGCGUGAGUGAAGAAGUAUUUCGGUAUGUAAAGCUCUAUCAGCAGAGAAGAAAAUGACGGUACCUGACUAAGAAGCCCCGGAUAACUACGUGCCAGCAGCCGCGGUAAUACGUAGGGGGCAAGCGUUCUCCGGAUUUACUGGGUGUAAAGGGAGCGUAGACGGUGCAGCAAGUCUGAUGUGAAAGGUCGGGGCCCAACCCCGGGACUGCAUUGGAAACUGUUGAACUGGAGUGCAGGAGAGGUAAGCGGAAUUCCUAGUGUAGCGGUGAAAUGCGUAGAUAUUAGGAGGAACACCAGUGGCGAAGGCGGCUUACUGGACUGUAACUGACGUUGAGGCUCGAAAGCGUGGGGAGCAAACAGGAUUAGAUACCCGUGUAGUC
rnacentral:rRNA from 1 species